AAUGAACGCUGGCGGCGUGCCUAACACAUGCAAGUCGGAUGUGCCGCAAGGUGCAUGGCAGACGGGUGAGUAACGCGUAGGGAAUCUACCUUUUUGUGGGGAAUAACGCUCCGAAAGGAGUGGUAAUACCGCAUGAGACCGUGACCUGGGAUGGUUACGGUGAAACCUGGAGACCGCAAGGCCUGGGGCAAAAAGAGGAUCCUGCGUCUGAUUAGCUAGUUGGCGGGUAAUGGCCCACCAAGGCGACGAUCAGUAGCCGGCCUGAGAGGGUGAUCGGCCACACUGGAACUGAGACACGGUCCAGACUCCUACGGGAGGCAGCAGUGGGGAAUUUUGCGCAAUGGACGAAAGUCUGACGCAGCAACGCCGCGUGGGUGAUGAAGGUCUUCGGACUGUAAAACCCUGUCGUCAGGGACGAAGGUGGCAGUGUUAAUAGCGCUGUUACUUGACGGUACCUGGAGAGGAAGCCCCGGCUAACUCUGUGCCAGCAGCCGCGGUAAU
rnacentral:rRNA from 1 species